AGAGCUGCCAUCGGAAUCAUUAUUUCAAACCGUGUGGUUUUGCAGAUACAAGCUUCAUUUUCUCUCUCUGAGAUAUAUUUUCCAUCAACUGAAAACAUGAAGGUCACUGUGGCAACAUUCUUUGUCGUGUUCGUCCUUACCACUCUUCUGCUGUUCUCUUCAUCGGAUGCUAUGCACAUGGGCGGCUUGAUGGGCGGUGGCGGAGGAAAUGCCGUCUCAGAGAUUCUAGUCGCCGGAAUCAUCGCCAAACUGCUCUCAGAGCACCAUAAGGGCGGAUGCCACUCUUAAGGCGAAGUUCCUUUGCAUAAAUUGCUUCCUUCAACAAAUCUUCUUGCUCAAUCUCUUGCAAUCAUUGGUUUGGAAGCUCUCUUUUUUUCCCCCUUCAUAUUUGUAUAUCUUGUAAAUAGCAACUCUUGUACCAUAUUUUGUAUCAUAUUUUUGAAACAUUUAAUAAAGUAAUACUUCUCUACAUUA